GACGAACGCUGGCGGCGUGCCUAACACAUGCAAGUCGAGCGGGGUUGAAGCGAGGGGUAACUCGAGUUUCUACCUAGCGGCGGACGGGCGAGUAACGCGUGGGCAACCUGCCUCAAGGACUGGGAUAACAGCUCGAAAGGGCUGCUAAUACCGGAUAAGCCCAUGGCCUCGCAUGGGGCCAUGAGCAAAGGGGAAACCCGCCUUGAGAUGGGCCCGCGUCCCAUCAGCUAGUUGGUGAGGUGAAGGCUCACCAAGGCGACGACGGGUAGCCGGCCUGAGAGGGUGACCGGCCACACUGGGACUGAGACACGGCCCAGACUCCUACGGGGGGCAGCAGUGGGGAAUCUUGCACAAUGGGCGAAAGCCUGAUGCAGCGACGCCGCGUGAGCGAAGAAGGCCUUCGGUUGUAAAGCUCUGUCUGGAGGGACGAAGGAAGUGACGGUACCUCCCGGAGGAAGGCCACGGCUAACUACGUG
rnacentral:rRNA from 1 species